UCGGAGCCUGCGGUUUAAUCGGACUCAACGCCGGGAAACUCACCAGAUAAGACAGCUGAAUGAUAGUCGGGCUGAAGACUCUACUUGACUAGCUGAGAGGAGGUGCAUGGCCGUCGUCAGUUCGUACUGUGAAGCAUCCUGUUAAGUCAGGCAACGAGCGAGACCCACGCCAACAGUUGCCAGCUCGUCCUCCGGGAUGGUGGGGACACUGUUGGGACCGCCUCUGCUAAAGAGGAGGAAGGAAUGGGCAACGGUAGGUCAGCAUGCCCCGAAUUAUCUGGGCUACACGCGGGCUACAAUGGGUGGGACAAUGGGUAUCGACACCGAAAGGUGAAGGCAAUCUCCUAAACCCAUCCGUAGUUCGGAUUGUGGGCUGCAACUCGCCCACAUGAGGCUGGAAUCUGUAGUAAUCGUGUCUCAAAAUGGCACGGUGAAUAUGUCCCUGCUCCUU
rnacentral:rRNA from 1 species